rnacentral:rRNA from 1 species
AGCGGGAAUUCGAUUCCGAAUUCGCAGACAACAGAGUUUGAUCCUGGCUCAGAUUGAACGCUGGCGGCAGGCCUAACACCUGCAAGUCGAGCGGAUGAUGGGAGCUUGCUCCCGGAUUCAGCGGCGGACGGGUGAGUAAUGCCUAGGAAUCUGCCUGGUAGUGGGGGACAACGUUUCGAAAGGAACGCUAAUACCGCAUACGCCCUACGGGGGAAAGCAGGGGAUCGCAAGACCUUGCACUAUUGGAGCGGCCGAUAUCGGAUUAGCUAGUUGGUGGGGUAACGGCUCACCAAGGCGACGAUCCGUAGCUGGUUUGAGAGGACGACCAGCCACACUGGGACUGAGACACGGCCCAUACUCCUACGGGAGGCAGCAGUGGGGAAUUUUGGACAAUGGGGGAAACCCUGAUCCAGCCAUCCCGCGUGUGCGAUGAAGGCCUUCGGGUUGUAAAGCACUUUUGGCAGGAAAGAAACGUCAUGGGUUAAUACCCCGUGAAACUGACGGUACCUGCAGAAUAAGCACCGGCUAACUACGUGCCAGCAGCCGCGGUAAUACGUAGGGUGCAAGCGUUAAUCGGAAUUACUGGGCGUAAAGCGUGCGCAGGGCGGUUCGGAAAGAAAGAUGUGAAAUCCCAGAGCUUAACUUUGGAACUGCAUUUUUAACUACCGGG